rnacentral:rRNA from 1 species
GUCAACGCCGUAAACGAUGAGUGCUAGCUGCUGGGGAUGUUUACCGCCUCAGUGGCGAAGCCAACGCAUUAAGCACUCCGCCUGGGAAGUACGGCCGCAAGGCUAAAACUCAAAGGAAUUGACGGGGGCCCCGCACAAGCGGUGGAGCAUGUGGUUUAAUUCGAAGCAACGCGCAGAACCUUACCCAGGCUUGACAUCCCGCGAAUUUCGGGGAAACCCGAUUGUGCCGUCGCAAGACGGAACGCGGUGACAGGUGCUGCAUGGCUGUCGU